rnacentral:rRNA from 1 species
ACUCGAGCGGCGAAAGGGAUAGUACACGUAGGUACCUACCCUCAGGACUGGGAUAGCUACGGGAAACUGUAGGUAAUACCAGAUAAUGUUUCCGAACCAAAGGUGUGAUUCCGCCUGAGGAGGGGCCUGCGUCCUAUUAGCUAGUUGGUGAGGUAACGGCCCACCAAGGCUGAGAUGGGUAGCGGGUGUGAGAGCAUGACCCGCAUCAUUGGGACUGAGACACUGCCCAGACACCUACGGGUGGCUGCAGUCGAGAAUCUCGGCAAUGGGCGCAAGCCUGACCGAGCGACGCCGCGUGCGGGAUGAAGGCCCUCGGGUUGUAAACCGCUGUCAGGGGGGAGGAAAUUCCAGGGGGUUCUCCCCUUGGUUUGACCUAUCCCCAGAGGAAGUACGGGCUAAGUUCGUGCCAGCAGCCGCGGUAAGACGAACCGUACGAACGUUAUUCGGAAUCACUGGGCUUAAAGGGUGCGUAGGCGGCCUUGCAAGUUGGGUGUGAAAGCCCUCGGCUCAACCGGGGAAUUGCGCCCAAAACUGCCGGGCUAGAGGGA